rnacentral:rRNA from 1 species
CCUACGGGAGGCUGCAGUGGGGGAUAUUGCACAAUGGGCGAAACCCUGAUGCAGCGACGCCGCGUGUGGGAAGACGGUCCUCUGGAUUGUAAACCACUGUCCCCAGGGACGAAGAUGACGGUACCUGGGGAGGAAGCUCCGGCUAACUACGUGCCAGCAGCCUCGGUAAUACGCAGGGGGCGAGCUUUGUCCGGAAUUACUGGGUGUAAGGGGAGCGUAGGCGGGACUGCAAGUUGGGGGUCAAAUCUACCGGCUCAACCGGAAGCCGCACUCAAAACUGCAGUUCUUGAGUGAAGUAGAGGCAGGCGGAAUUCCGAGUGUAGCGGUGAAAUGCGUAGAUAUUAGGAGGAACACCAGUGGCGAAGGCGGCCUGCUGGGCUUUUACUGACGCUGAGGCUCGAAAGUGUGGGGAGCAAACAGGAUUAGAUACCCCAGUAGUC